rnacentral:rRNA from 1 species
AUUGAACGCUGGCGGCAGGCCUAACACAUGCAAGUCGAACGAGUGGCGGACGGGUUAGUAAUGUCUGGGAACCUGCCCGCUGUCGGGGGAUAACUACUGGAAAUGGUAGCUAAUACCGCAUACCAUCAGAUGUGCCCAGACGGGAUUAGCUAGUUGGUGGGGUAACUGCUCACCUAGUCGACGCUCCCUAGCUGGUCUGAGAGGAUGACCAGCCACCCUGGAACGGAGACACGGUCCAGACUCCUAAGGGAGGAAGCAGUGGGGAAUAUUGCACAAUGGGCGCAAGCCUGAUGCAGCCAUGCCGCGUGUAUGAAGAAGGCCUGCGGGUUGUAAAGUACUUUCAGCGAGGAGGCGUUACUCGCAGAAGAAGCACCGGCUAACUACGUGCCAGCAGCCGCGGUAAUUC